CAGUCGCCGCGGUAAUGCGAAGGGUGCAAGCGUUACUCGGAAUUACUGGGCGUAAAGCGUGCGUAGGUGGUGGUUUAAGUCCGUUGUGAAAGCCCUGGGCUCAACCUGGGAAUUGCAGUGGAUACUGGAUCACUAGAGUGUGGUAGAGGAUAGUGGAAUUUCCGGUGUAGCAGUGAAAUGCGUAGAGAUCGGAAGGAACAUCUGAGGCGAAGGCGACUAUCUGGGCCAACACUGACACUGAGGCACGAAAGCGUGGGGAGCAAACAGGAUUAGAUACCCGCGUAGUCCCUGUCUCUUAUAC
rnacentral:rRNA from 1 species